ACGCAAUCAUAGUUGAAAGGACGCCGCAGCCAUGUCUACGGUGUCUACGAGCUCCAGUCCUAGUAGAGGGAUCACAGAGCUUGCUCCUUUAAGGGGGCAUGUGUGCCUGCCGGGAGAGCCGGUGCUGAUGACGCAGCCCGGUGCCGUGGUGGCGAUCGGAGGUGGUCUUCGGCUGCUUGCCCAGCCCGCACCCACACCCACCGCUGAUGGCGCAUCGCAAGCGCUCACGGACGUCUUCCUUUCUGAGUACUGUGCCUCCCUUCAGCGCAGCAGCCAUCAUCUGCACACACACGUUCCCCGGUACACAGUGCCAACGCCGGCGAGUAGACGAUACAUCCCCCGCGCCGGCGAUCCGGUGCUUGCCAUUAUUGCCCGCAAAGUGAGCCAGCACUACUACUACUGCUACAUUGGCGGCUCCGCCCUGGCCUACAUGGACGCCUUGGCCUUCGACGGCGCCACGAAGGUGAGCCGACCGCGGCUGGUGGAGGGCGAUGUUGUGUACUGCUACGUGAAGCCUCGCGCGGGCUCGAGCUACGUCGGCGGUGUACAUCGGUCGGUGGCCAGCGAGGUAUUUGACACGACUGGCGAAGUGGAGGUGAGCUGCACAGCGGCAGAAGUCGGGCUGCCGCCUAAGGACUGGACAUCCGGGGAGGCCGCCUUCGGCCCGUUGCAGGGCGGUCGCGUUCUGCACCUCCCGCUGGCGUACGUGCGUCGUCUGAUCACACCCGUGGGCUCAUCCCCAGAUAAGGCAUCAGCACAGCAGCGAAAGCAUGGUCACACGGAAGGCGAGGGCGGUUAUGGCGAUGAAGUGCCCGCCUCGUACCUCCUUCAGCUUCUGGGGCGCAGAGUACCCUUCGAGGUGGCUGUCGGCCUCAACGGGCUCGUGUGGGUGCGGGGGCUCUCUAGCGAGGCUGACACCACGGCUGCUGCCCGGCGCACUGUCGCCGUAAGCUCGUGCAUCUCCGAGGCGCAGUACGACGUCACUCGCGCCGAGAUGGAGGCCCGCGUCGAGGUUUACUUUCCCUCCUGACACGAGCAGCACGGGAACAGGCACGCGCCCCCUUCUGCACCGCGCGUACAUGUGCGUGUGUGGCUUGAACAGGAAACGAAUAAUGACCAUCUCACGCCAUUUCUCUCUCCUCCUCGCCUCCGCUGGCGCUUCUCCCGCUACCGCCUCUUUCCCUUUUUUCUACCAUCUUUCCGCUCUCGCGCGCGCAGCACUUGACCAGAGAGAGAGAGAAGCUGUGUUCGGCACGACAAAGAGCUCCACGCCCACGGGCGUGCCGGGGAAAGAGAGAGAACGGGAGCGGUGGCGGCGAGUCGGAGACUGAGGUGGAAGGGGGCGGCGAGAGGAACACUAACAAGAAG
rnacentral:misc_RNA from 1 species